rnacentral:rRNA from 1 species
AAAUUGAAGAGUUUGAUCAUGGCUCAGAUUGAACGCUGGCGGCAGGCCUAACACAUGCAAGUCGAACGGUAACAGAAAGCAGCUUGCUGCUUUGCUGACGAGUGGCGGACGGGUGAGUAAUGUCUGGGAAACUGCCCGAUGGAGGGGGAUAACUACUGGAAACGGUAGCUAAUACCGCAUAACGUCG